AUUGAACGCUGGCGGCAUGCUUUACACAUGCAAGUCGAACGGUAACAGGUUAAGCUGACGAGUGGCGAACGGGUGAGUAAUGUAUCGGAACGUGCCCAGUCGUGGGGGAUAACGUAGCGAAAGCUACGCUAAUACCGCAUACGAUCUGUGGAUGAAAGCGGGGGACCGUAAGGCCUCGCGCGAUUGGAGCGGCCGAUAUCCGAUUAGGUAGUUGGUGAGGGAAAGGCCCACCAAGCCAACGAUCUGUAGCUGGUCUGAGAGGACGACCAGCCACACUGGGACUGAGAAAAGGCCCAGACUCCUACGGGAGGCAGCAGUGGGGAAUUUUGGACAAUGGGGGCAACCCUGAUCCAGCAAUGUCGCGUGCAGGAAGAAGGCCUUCGGGUUGUAAACUGCUUUUGUACGGAACGAAAAGGCUCUGGUUAAUACCUGGGGUUUAUGACGGUACCGUAAGAAUAAGCACCGGCUAACUACGUGCCAGCAGCCGCCGUAA
rnacentral:rRNA from 1 species